UAUGGCUCCAUCAACACCACCACCAGCUUUUAGAAGAGAAUUAGCCGCAUUCACUAUAGCAUCAACCUGAAAAAAUAGUUAAAAAAUCAAUGGCUUGACUCUUGGGAAACCAUAGACAAAUUAUGCCAAGCAUCCCAUUUCCAAUACAAAAUGAACCCGACCUGCAGGUUUUUUGCACUGAAAGUGUUAAUCAAUUGAUUCCCAUUCCGAAUCGAAAUUUACCAGUCAAAAAACAGCCUAUAGCUGUUUUAUUUAGAAUCAAACUUUGAGUGUCACUACUGACCCAAUAUCACAUCUACUUCAAGGAAUUAAAAUAAUGACUGGUGUUUAUUUGGUGUUGGGGACAAUAAACAUUGGUUGUAUUAAAUAGUGAAACUUUUGUAUGAAGUAUUAUUAUCUAUUCGGCGAUUGACAUCUGACCUUACAACCUUGAGAGAAAACUAGUCCUUAUAGUGAUAAGCAAUUUAUAGGUUUUCACACGUUGUUUUUUUUCGAGGGUUUCGAGAAACUCAUUG